AACCUCAUCCCAUUCUUUCUUGGGUUUGGUUGACUCCUCACCAUCUAUAAUCUUGGUGGGUGUGUGAGGACCGUUCACUAUGAUACUCCACAUAUCAUAGUUGAGUGCUUGUAUGAAAAUCUUCAUCCGAGCUUUCCAAUAGGUGUAAUUAGACCCAUUAAAAAGUGGAGGUCGGUUUGUUGAUUGCCUCUCGGCUAGAGAAGUACCAACAUGGGUUGCCAUAGAUCUUUGGCUCUUUGAUUGUUAGAUCAAAGAAGGGCUAGAGCAUCGGGCUCUGAUACCACUUGUUGCCCAGCUAUGCAACCCAAGAGGGGGGGUGAAUUGGGUUUCUAAAAGUUUUAGAAUUGAUUAAUUACUUAUGAUGAACAAGACAAAGAUUUUAAUUCAAUAUUAAAUACCUAAAAUAGGAAUGCAAGGAUAUAAUAAAGAAAUAAAGUGAAGCGAUAAAGCACACCACAAACACAA
rnacentral:lncRNA from 1 species